UGAACAAAAGGCGAAACUCGGAUGAACUCUCUCCAUCUCUCCCUCUCCUCGCCCGGGUUAUCUCAGCUUUGGCAACUUUAAGCCGGCGAGAUUUCCGCAACUUUCCCGCAGCUCCCUAACAGCGGGCAGCCCCCCUCCAGGCUCCUAAGGCAGCACUUUGAGGACAGGCGAAGGUCAAAACAUGGUCAUCGGGAAAAUGGGAUGCUUGCCAAAAUUGUCGGUCUGUGCUAGGUGCCAUACUGCGUUGUCCUUGGAAUGGUGGAAUACAACUUGGGUCUCCUCAGGGAUGACUGACGUGGCACAAACUGUACCAUGCAACUACCGAAUGCGUUCACCUUUUGGAUAUGUAAGUUAGUGGGCUACUGGAAGAAGAUGAAGAGCCUCUCACAGAAAUGUGAGGAUAAUGUAGAAAAUGCUGCUGCAAACCAUUUGGAUUAUAUUGCCAUCUGACAUUGCGGUCCUGCAGCUAACGGAAGGAAUUUGCCAGAUCUUUCUUGUUAUGUGGUUACUGAAGCAUUUUCCUGGCAUGGCAGUGAUGAUUGAUGAACACACUUCAGGCUUGAGCCACAGAGCAGGGUGAGGAUUUACAGUUCUGGAGUAGAAGUAUGAAUGGGAUUGAAGGAUUUACAUGGAGGACUCUGAACUCCUUCCCUUCCUGAGUCAGGAAGGAUAGGGGCCUGCUUUGAGACCUACUGAAGCUGUCUUGAAUGAUGUGACAAAUGGCAUGAUGAUGAUGAGGGCAUGAGAUGCAGCACAGCCAGGAGAGCCCCUGGCCCCUGAAUACUACCUUCAGAUGGAGGAGGGAAAAUAAGAUCUACAGGCACAUUAAGGAGGACCUGUCUCUUUGUUGUGAACAUUGCUGAGUUUAACUGGCAAAAGAUAUUCUCUAUGUCUGAAUCAGCAUGUGUCUGCAGCCUUGUGCACAAAACCUACUAGAGUCCCAGUGAGGGGAAAAACAACUUGUAAGGAACUAGUUAGUGCCCAAAGCACAAGUCCUCAGUAUUGGCUUCUGCAGAAAGUCCAAGGCUGCAAUUCCACGUGACUCCAAAAGGUAAUGUCUUCACUUUGCUACAAGAUGCAGAUGGAUCACUCUUUGCCAGCUUUCAAGGCAAAUAUUGCCAUAUAGUCCUUGCCCUCAGCAACAUCCUCAGUGUCCUGGUGAUGGGUGCUUUGGAAGGAUUGGGCAGAACAGACAUCAUGCUGCCUCUGCACAUCAGGCUGUCUGUUCUGCAUAAAGCUGCACUGUUUGGAAGAAGCGAGAUUGUCUUUCCUCACAGCUACGGCACUGCGCCACUCUCAACACAGCCUGCUUUUCCCCCCAUUUACCUGGGCGGCUGCUGCUGUUUCUGCUGCUGCUGGGGCUGCUGCAGUCUCGCUGCCUGUGCUUCACCCUGGCUUGGCUGACUUGAGACUCACUCGUCUGCACAUUGCUAAGGAAGAGGAGCGAUGGAGCCACAUUUUUUUCUGUUGGUUCUGGAAGCAAAGGGUUGUGAUGUGUGGUGGUUAUGGGGUUUUCUUUUUUUCUUUUUUUUCUAUUUAUUUUUAUUUUUUUUUGGGAGUGGGGAAGGAGGCAUGGUCAUCUAGGAUGGGGUGGGUGAAAGCUUAAAGAAAUAUGAUGUAAAGUAAUCCAGUGCUCAACAAGGGCAUCAGCAGCAAGAAUCCAGCCUCUGCUGCUCCAGAGGAUUAACAUGGGGAAAGCCACAGAGCCGCAGUCGGGUUUCACCUCAGCGUUGUGCUGGAGAUGGAUAAAUAAGGUUGCAUUUUUGGAGAGGGACCAAAAGGAAUGGAAGAGCAGCAUCAGUCUCUGAAUAGCAAAUCUUAUUUUCUCCAUGCAAUAGUUCUUCAAGAAUGAAACAGUAGUGGGACUUGCAGCUUUGCGCCACUGUGAGAUGAACUGCAUUUUGCAUCAUUGUCUUCACCUUCACAUCUGGGGUUGAUGUCUUCACCUCGCCUCUGUAACUAGCCCUGAGGCACAUGUUGUCUCAUAUCCACACGCCUUCUGUCAUGUUUCAUUAUUGAAUUAAUAAAAAACAUGUUCAGAAAAUGGGACAUGAAGGGCUGGACUGAAUUCUGUAGACAUGCAUGGAGGAGGCACUCUGCAUGCAGAUUCCACCUUUCUUGCAUUCAGGUAGUAGUUGUGGGAAGCAGCUGCCUUGAUGUUUCCAUCUUUCAUUUGUGGAAAACUUAAUAAGUCUUUGUUCAAGUCUGUUUAUGCAUUCAUUACCUCUUGUUUGCAACACUACACUAAGCUCCAGAUCUAAGGGAAGGACAGCAAGUUCUACCUACCAUAGCAGGCAUAGCACGGAUUCAGCAACAGGACAACUUGGAUGGACUUGAGUUAGGUGCACCAAAGACUGAACAGAAACACUGUAAGAAGUCGGACUUAUUCCAAAAUUUCUGUUAUCCCUCUAAGGGUGCUGUGAUAAGAAUAUGUUGCUCUCUGGAAGAAUUUGGAGGAAUCUCAGUGCAUAGUGAUUUUCUUUACAUGUCCUGUGUUUGGAAAAGGCCAUGAAACCCUUAUAAUGAACUGUACAAUAUUGUCAUAGAAAGACAUUUCUACAAAAGGUUUGUUUACCAUUUGAACUACUGGUACCUUAAACAAAUCAAGGCUGUGGUCCAGCAUCAGAGAAGGUCCACUCCAACUUCCAAAGAGGAUGACAACAGAGCCCUUGACUGAGGAAAAGAGAAGUUGGAAAGAUCUCUGGAUUCUAACUGGAAAAAAAAACUGAAAGGAAGUAAUGUGACCUGAAAGAAAGGCUUCUCCUGUGACGUCUUCAUACCACAAAGAUUUAGGCCAAGUUUUUGAAGUACUUAUGCAAAUUCAAAGUGUGUUUGCAGAAAACAGUUUGUAUGGUGAAGGUCUGGGUUCAGGCCAUUCUCCCACUGGUUAAGAAUGCAAGUUUGAAGGAGGGCCUUCGUCUCCUAUAAUAGUACCCUCAUGGCAAGGCUAAAAUUUAUGGCCACAUUCCAUGCUCAAAUUAAUUGAGAGGACAACUACAAUGUGGAUGCUCGGCUGGAAAGUGUGAUAUCUUUCCUUGUAUUUUAUCCUUGUUAGUAUUUUAAUGGAUAUUUUUAAAAGCCCUCUCAGAAUGUUCCAUUAAACUGUUCUUAGGGUGGUCUGCUGGGAUUGUGGGUUUAGGAGUAAGGAACUGGAUUCAACCCUUUCGUUUCUCUGGAGAGUGUUUUAACAUUUAGGAAAAAUAGGUAUUUAUCAUCACACCAUCUGUUCUUUUUUUUUUUUUUUCCAUCAGCUGAAACCUUUAUGCAAAUCAGCUAGCCAGCUUCAAUCACUUUUUUUUUCUUUUUUUUCCUUUUUUUUCUUUUUUUUUUCUUUUGCUUAGAACCCUGAAAAUAUGUUAGAGAUAUUUUAGAUGUAUCCUUUUAUCUUGUUUUAUGUUCCUACAAUGGGAAAAGGGUUUUCUGAGUAGAAUAAAGAUGUUUUUUUGAAGGUGCUCUUGUAUAAGUCCCAUAAGUUCCCUGUGCAGUCUGAUGUCAAAUAAAUACUCAAGACAGUUGUAAAGUUUUAUGAUAUGUCUGCGUUGCAAUCAAGAGAAAAGCAGGUAUUCUCAGUACUUUCUGAAAUUGCUGUCGUGAACUGAAAUCCAUGCCACCAAUCCUGCCUUUGGUAACUGGUUCAGAAAUCACCCUCCCCACUAUGACUGGCACACCGUCCUAGGCUGAAAAACAUGAGGUUAAUUACAGGAUUUGCUGCAUAUGUCAUUGAUAUUUUUGUAACUAACUACUUAAUUCCUUCUUAUUGUGCCUUGUAUUUACUAAACACAUUUAUUAAAUUCUAUGGAUGGAUCGCCCCUAUUUCCUUCAAUCCUCUAAGUUCAGAUGAGACGCUGUGUUAAAAGCCCAGGUGCUCUGGGCUCUUUCAGUAUUCAGUGGAAAGUGGUAUCUCAAGAGCCUAAGAGUGGUAACAGAGAAUGGCUUCUGCCCCAGGUGCCAUUGUUUGGUGUCUAAAACC